ACGAACGCUGGCGGCGUGCUUAACACCUGCAAGUCGAACGGAAAGGCCCCCUUGUGGGGUACUCGAGUGGCGAACGGGUGAGUAACACGUGAGUAACCUACCCUUGACUUUGGGAUAACUUCAGGAAACUGGGGCUAAUACCGGAUAGGAGCUCCUGCUGCAUGGUGGGGGUUGGAAAGUUUCGGCGGUUGGGGAUGGACUCGCGGCUUAUCAGCUUGUUGGUGGGGUAGUGGCUCACCAAGGCUUUGACGGGUAGCCGGCCUGAGAGGGUGACCGGCCACAUUGGGACUGAGAUACGGCCCAGACUCCUACGGGAGGCAGCAGUGGGGAAUAUUGCACAAUGGGCGGAAGCCUGAUGCAGCAACGCCGCGUGCGGGAUGACGGCCUUCGGGUUGUAAACCGCUUUCGCCUGUGACGAAGCGUGAGUGACGGUAAUGGGUAAAGAAGCACCGGCUAACUACGUG
rnacentral:rRNA from 1 species